rnacentral:rRNA from 1 species
GACGAACGCUGGCGGCGUGCUUAACACAUGCAAGUCGAACGGGCCUGUCUUCUUUUUUGGGGGUGGGUUGAGUGGCGAACGGGUGAGUAUCACGUGAGUAACCUGCCCUUCGGUCCUGGAUAACCGCUUGAAAGGGCGGCUAAUACGGGGUGGUCCGGUUGGUCCGCAUGGGCUGGUCGGGAUAGAUUCACUGUUUUUGGUGUUUCGGCGGGGGAUGGGCUCGCGGCCUAUCAGCUUGUUGGUGGGGUGAUGGCCUACCAAGGCGGUGACGGGUAGCCGGGCGGGGAGGGUGGGCGGCCACACUGGGACCGAGAUACGGCCCAGACUCCUGCGGGAGGCAGCAGUGGGGGGUAUUGCACAAUGGGCGGAAGCCUGAUGCAGCGACGUCGCGUGAGGGAUGGAGGCCUUCGGGUUGUGAACCUCUGUUUCCGGUGGUGAAGGCCCUGUCCGUGUGGUGGGGUUGACGGUAGCCGGGGAUGAAGCGCCGGCUAACUACGUG